UAACGACUCUCGGCAACGGAUAUCUCGGCUCUCGCAUCGAUGAAGAACGCAGCAAAAUGCGAUACUUGGUGUGAAUUGCAGAAUCCCGUGAAUCAUCGAGUUUUUGAACGCAAGUUGCGCCCGAAGCCUUCUGGCCGAGGGCACGUCUGCCUGGGUGUCACGC
rnacentral:rRNA from 1 species